GGUCAAGUGACUAAGCGUGCACGGUGGAUGCCUUGGCAUCUGGAGGCGAUGAAAGACGUAGUAGCCUGCGAUAAGCUUCGGUGAGGUGGCAAACAACCUUUGACCCGGAGAUCUCUGAAUGGGGAAACCCACCUGUCAUCAGGCAGGUAUCCUUAACUGAAUACAUAGGUUAAGGAGGCGAACCGGGAGAACUGAAACAUCUAAGUACCCCGAGGAAAAGAAAUC
rnacentral:ncRNA from 1 species